AAAGCAGGAUGCAAUUACAGUGCUUCAUUCUGUGGAAGGACUGCCAUUACCCUGCUGACAGCAACAUCCUGCUUCAGAGCAACAGCUUCUCACCUGUGUGGGAUAUAUAGUUUCUGUAGCAGGAACAACU